UACGUAGGGUGCAAGCGUUGUCCGGAAUUAUUGGGCGUAAAGAGCUCGUAGGCGGUCUGUCGCGUCUGCUGUGAAAACUCAGGGCUUAACCCUGAGCUUGCAGUGGGUACGGGCAGACUAGAGUGCGGUAGGGGAGACUGGAAUUCCAGGUGUAGCGGUGAAAUGCGUAGAUAUCUGGAGGAAUACCGGUGGCGAAGGCGGCAUCCUGGACCGGCAUUGACGCUGAGGAGCGAAAGCCAGGGGAGCAAACGGG
rnacentral:rRNA from 1 species